GGGAGGAUUGCUUGAGCCCAGGAGUUCGAGACCUGCCUGGGCAAUAUAGCGAGACCCCGUUCUCCAGAAAAAGGAAAAAAAAAAAAAGACAAAAAAAAAAUAAGCGUAACAAUCUGAUUCUGAUCUCUAGUACACCUAAUUUCCAUUUCUUGCCCCUGCUUUACUCCAAAUACUGAUUUCCAUAUUUCCCAUACCAGCCUAAAUAUCAAACUUUUAAACUCAUGAUUGCUUGGUAGUGUGGUUCUGAUGCUGCUGCUUUUGCAUCCUGUCCUGAUCCACAUCCUUAGCACCUACCAUAAUGAUUCCCUGGAAAGAGUCAUUUCCCCUGAUAGAUGCUAAUUUUCCAUUUUGGUAGGCCUGGGCUGCCUACAAAAUGAGGUUCCCAAGAGGAAACAAGGAUGGCACUAAACUGGGCAAGUGUCUUCUGAUAUAUUGACCAUACAUGGCAAGUUGUUCGUGUCUAUGAAAAAAAUUGAUGCCCUUUGCCAGACUCCACUGAGCAACAGACAUAGCUAAGACUUAAUAAGUUCAUCAUUUUGAGGUUGGAAUCAGCCAUUAAGUACUUGUCUCUUCUUUCUGCUAUCUCUUACCUGAUAAUCAGUUACUAUAUAGUGAAUAUAGGAAUCUAAUGGCCGUAAUGAGGGCAAGCCUCAAGUUCUGUUGAAAACAAAUGAGAAGACCAAGGAGUUCUAAAUAUAUUUUUCCUUAAGAAAUGGUGUUUGUCAUUAUUUAAUAAAUCCCUUCAUUCCAUAUUUUGCAGGUGAUAAAACUGAGGCACAGUUAACUCACUUGCUCCUAGUCACAAAGCUAGUUAGAACCACAGCCAGGGCUAGAAGUUAGUGUUCUGAAUUCCUAUUCCAAUCCCACUGAAGAAUACUAUUCUCCUAUAUUAUAGGAUGAG
rnacentral:lncRNA from 1 species